AGAAUUAAGCACAGCUGUUAUAUACUUACCUUUCCUGUCUCUCAGUGCCCUGUUGUGGUCUUGUGUUACCUGUAUUGCAGUUUGCUCGUGUUGCUCUCUGGUUACUGUUUAUUUGGCUCGUUAUUCCGACUUUCCUGUAUUCUCCAUUCCUUUGACCUCGGCUUGUUUCUCGUUCUCGUGUUUUCUGGCUCCCUUUACUUGGCUUGUCUCCUGACUAUUCUUAGUGUGCUUAAC